GCAAAAGGCUGAUUUGAGGAAGUUUUGGGCUUCAAGAGUCAGCCAGGAGGCAGGCACUAGGCCUGGAAAUGGCCCGACAGUCAUGAGUUGGGCCUAAAUGGGCCACCGUGAGGGAGGAGCUGUGCCUGUUGAGGCUGCUGGCAGGCAGGAAGAAAUUUGGCCUGAGGCAGCUGCCAUGAGGCAAGAGCUGGGCUUGGAAAAGCCCCUGGGAGGCAAGAGCAGGCCCUGCAGAGGCUGUUCUCAAGUCAAAGCUGGGCCUGUUCAUGCCACCGGGAAGCAGAAGGUGGGCCUGGAGAGUAUGACUUGAGGAAGUUUUGGGCCUACAUUGGCUGCCAUGAGCUGGACAGGAACUGGGCCAAAAAAGGCUGUUGUGAGGCAGCAGUUGUGCCUGUAGACUCAGCCAAGAGGAAGAGCUGGGCCUGGAGAAGCCCCCAUGAGGCAGAGGUUGGGCCUGUAGACGCUGACAGGAGGCAGGAGCUGGGCCGGGAGAGGUCAACUUGAGGAGAUUUUGGGCCUUCAUAGGCCACCAGGAGGCAGCAGUUGGGACUAGAGAGGCUGACUUGAGUAAGUUUUGGGCCCGGAGAUGACGUUCUGGGACAGGAGCUGUGCCUGGAGAGGUCACUGUGAGGCAUGAGCUGGAUGUAGAGAGGCCAGUGUGAGGCAAGACCUGGGCCUGUCUAGGCUGCUGGGAGACACGCAGGAAUCUGGCCAGGGAAGGUUGCCAUGAGACGAAAGUUGGGCCUGGAAAGGCCCUUGUGAAGCAUGAGCUUGGCCUAAAGAGGCCACUGGGUGGCAGGAGCUGGGUGUGUAGAAGCUGCUAAAGGUUGGGAGCUUGGCUUGGGGGGUCCACAGUGAGGCAGAUGCUGGGCCUCAAGAAUCUGCUAUGAGGCAGAUGUUGGGACUGUAGAGGCCGACGGGAGGCAGAGGCUGGGCCUGGAGGGGCCACCAAGAUGCAGGAGCUGGGCCUGGAGAGGCUGCAAAGAAGCAUGAGCUGGGCCUGGUGAGGUCGACUUCAGAAAGUUCAGGGCCUAGAGAGAAGGCUGGGAGGCAGGAGCUGGGUCUAAAGAGGCCAUUGUAACGAUGGAGCUGUGCCUGUGGAGGCUGUUGUGAGGCAGUAGGCUCAUCUGCGGAGACUGCCGUGAGGUAGGGUAUGGGCCUAAAUAGGCCAUUGUGAGUCAUGAGCUUGGUCUGUAGAGGCUGACUGGAGAAAGUUCUGGGCCUGGAGAGGCUGCCGGGAGGUAGGAGCUGGGCCAAAAGAUUUAAGCACAUUUACAUUUAUUAGGCACUUCGUUUCCAUUAUUACACUGUAAUAUCUAAUAAAAUAAUUAUAGAACUCACCAUAAUGUAGAAUCA
rnacentral:lncRNA from 1 species